UGGGGAGGCAUCUGGGUGUAAAGUGCAGAGGUAAGCCCAGCGUAAGGCCGGGGCCCGGUUUCGUGCUGGGGAGGCGGCUGGCUCUGUGAACAUCCUGCAGUAAUGAGAUCCCCCAAGAACGGUUGCUGGCAGCCCACUACCGCUGUUGCUGGGGGCUGAGGGUUGAGUGGGUCUGAGUGCUUGCCUGUGAGCAAUUCAGGACCCUAAGAGAUUCCCAAAGAAACUGCUGCUCUGAGGUUAUUCAUCUGAUGCGAAGAUGCUGGUGAGAAAAGACAUUUUCUGUUGCUGAGCUACUGCAAGAGGAGCUGAACUGAGACACCAGAAAGUCCACUUCAAGAUCAAUAUGGAAAAGUUUAAGAGACAUUCAGCGACAUUGGCCCCUACCUCCAACCAUGGGAUGGGUGGAAGGAAUGUGUCCUGGCCUCUGUGGCAGCAGCUGAGUCAGCCAUGGGCCUGGAGGAAGAAGGGCUUCUGUGACUCAUCAGCAGCUUUUCGUUGCCCCAGGACAACGCCAGAAGGAGAAAUGUGUGCACACAGGGGCUCAGAACCAGAAGCCCAGCCUUGCAAGCCAAGGGCACAAGCACAGAAGCCUGAGAAGAAGGGAGUGCUCCAGUUUCUCUGUGAAAAAGGAGAAGGUGACUGUGCAGGGGAAGGGCCCUGGCAACUCUCUGGACCACAGUGCCUGC
ensembl:lncRNA